CCUACGGGAGGCAGCAGUGAGGAAUAUUGGUCAAUGGACGCAAGUCUGAACCAGCCAAGCCGCGUGAAGGAAGACGGCCCUAUGAGUUGUAAACUUCUUUUGUACGGGAGUAAACGCAGCUACGCGUAGCUGUCUGUAUGUAUCGUACGAAUAAGGAUCGGCUAACUCCGUGCCAGCAGCCGCGGUAAUACGGAGGAUCCGAGCGUUAUCCGGAUUUAUUGGGGUUAAAGGGUGCGUAGGCGGUCGGAGAAGUUAGAGGGGAAAGCCCGCGGCUCAACCUCGUAAGUGCCUUUGAAACUGUUUGUCUUGAGAGUAGUAGAGGUAGGCGGAAUGCAUGGUGUAGCGGUGAAAUGCUUAGAGAUCAUGCAGAACACCGAUUGCGAAGGCAGCUUACCGGGCUACAACUGACGCUGAGGCACGAAAGCGUGGGGAGCAAACAGGAUUAGAUACCCUGGUAGUC
rnacentral:rRNA from 1 species